CUGACGCAGCGACGCGCGUGGAGUGAAGAAGGCUUCGGGUCGUAAAAUACUGUCAGAUGGAAAGAAGUGUAUAGAAGUUAAUAGCAUUUAUAUUUGACGGAACCAUCAAAGGAAGCACCGGCUAACUCCGUGCCAGCAGCCGCGGUAAUACAGGAGGGUGCAAGCGUUAGAUUCGGAAUUACUGGGCGUAAAGCGCGCGUAGGCGGUUUUAUAAGUUCAGAUGUGAAAGUCCACGGCUCAACCGUGGAACGUGCAUUUAAAACUGUCAUUACUUAGAGUACUGGAGAGGGUGGUGGAAUUUCCUGUGUAGAGGUGAAAUUCGUAGAUAUCGGAGAGGACACCGGUGGCGAAGCGACCCACCUGGCCAGAUACUGACGCUGAGGUGCGAAACGUGGGGAGCAAACAGGAUUAGAUACCCUGGUAGUCCACGCCGUAAACGAUGUCAACUAGCUGUUGGGCGUUAAUCUCUCUCAUUCCCUACUAACGGAUUAAGUUCACCGCCUGAGUACUACGCUCACAA
rnacentral:rRNA from 1 species